UGGAAACACGAAGGUUGUGUGAAAAUUUUUGCCGGAGGGAGAUUGGGAUUCCAAGGCGACGCUCCCGUAGAUUCCUCGCGGAUCAUGCAAUCCCUGUCUGAGAGGAUCGGGGAAUGGGAGGCGGUCCAUUCUUUUGGAUGGCUGCUCUGCCCUGUAAAUCUGCCAGGCGAAAUUGCACCAUCAGAGCGGUCUAACUUCAGUGGGUGGGGACCAGGGUGCUUCCUUAAACAGGCAGGAGAAUGAGCGAGCGAAGGGAAGCAGGCAGCGCCGCGAUCCUCCUUCUUGGGCGACUGCUAUUGCUGCUGCUACGGCCGCCGUCGUUGACGUUGCCGCCGCUGCUAUUCCCCAGCCCAGCUGCAGCUCUCGCUCCUGGAUGUGUCAUCUAACACGUGGGGCUGUCCUUGCGCCGCGAAAACUUUCGAGGGAUACUUGCUUCCAACUUGGACACACGCGUUCGGUGACAUCGGAACGGCAGGGAGGCCGGGCGGUGGAGGUGGUGAAAUCUUCGUUCCGGUGCACGGAUCCGGCCGCCUCUUUCCAGAUGGGGGUGCCUCUGCCUGGUUCCCUUUCCGUUUGCUUUUGGAAUUCCGCUCCCACGUUUCAAACCGUCUGUAUUCUGGACAUUUCCCCCCCUCCCCCUCUUCUUAACAUGGGAAAUGUUGCAAAUGUGUCUUUUAACGAAUGGGCUCUAAUUUUUUCUGAGGGGUGGGCGUCUUCCUCCCCCACACCUCCCCCCCCUUCGUUUUUUUUCUCCACUUUAGUUCAAGAAGACCUGGAAAGGACCAGGAAAGCCAAACGAUUUAAACCAAGAAUUCACUUCGUUCGCUUGCCCCUGACAUAAGAGCCCCAUUCCCACGGAGCGCAUUUGAUUGUCAUUCUGGGAGUGUACGCUGGCGCAGACCAUCAGGACUUGCCUCUAUGCCGCAGAUGUUGCACACUCCACACAGGGUGGUCUUUUCUGUGUGCCACUGAAUGCACACUACCUUUUUAACUUCUCAAAACUGCUUUUGAGUCCUGCAAUUAAUUCCAACAAGGCAAUGUCUGCGACAGAAUUAAUGUAGUGCUUUCUGGCUUAUUUGGCAUUUUAGUGGGGCUGGGGCAUUCCUAUUCCUCUUGCCAGUUUACCAAUCAAAGUAGCUUCAUUCCAGAGUCACAAGUGUCAAUAAAGAUGGAAAAUAUCAAAAGAGCUAACACUUCAGAUCAGCCUAAAGAGCACUGUUGUCACUGGCCACAUCACAAAGUGCAUGUGCAUCAUCUUGUCAGAUAAGCUGCAAGACUGCCAGUCAAGCCUUUGAUUGGGAGAGGAUAUGGGAAGGAUUAUAGCCAGCCCCCAUUUUUAAAAAACCCUCUCCAUUCCUACGCUGUUGAUUAGUGCUAUUGCUGAAUAUGCUGUGGGCAACACGUGCAGCCCCAGCCGCUGGAACAGACUGGAGAAUCACACGUUAUUCCUGUUUGUGCACAUAACUCCCCAUCAACUAAUGAUGCCAUGCAGAAAUCUACUUCUAUGCACAUAUGGCCCACUAACUAGAUUAGGGCAAUUAUUACUGGCAAUUGCCCUGUGCCAAAUGGUUCAAAAGUACAGCUGGCAGAAAAUUACUGUUUAUCUUUUAUUUAAAAUAAAUCUUAUUCAUGUA